rnacentral:lncRNA from 1 species
CUCGAGUAUUUUAUUUCGUUUUAAACGUAUGCACAAAUUUAGUAAGAUCUAUUUCGAACAUUUCUAAGGUAAUAUCGUGACAAUAACUUUAAUCUGUGCGGCUUGGGCUUGCGGGAUUUCUCUCUGCCCUAGAUCAUUACAUUGCAUUAUUCAGCUCACUUCCAAUUCGGGCUUUUUAAAACAGUGCCCGAUUACAUCAAGUAUUACGCAUACUUAUGUUACUUACUUAGCGAAGACUAUUUAUCUUUAUAUUACAUCAAUUGUGAACUGUGUUUAUCCUAACCCACCCUGCCAACUUGUUCAUGACUAUGAAUAUGACCAAAUGCGUAACUAUAACUACAUCACUGAUAUGACUAAAUAUGAUUACAUGACUAUACGACAACAUGAUUAUUAUGACUAUGACUGUUAUGGCCACGAUUAUAUACACCAAUGGGGUUGUUUGGAGGCACCCCAUUGGGAUGUUUGGUGGUACACCAGUUGGGGUUUAGAAGGUACAUCAAUUGGGGGUGUUUGGAGGUUCCUCAAUUGGGGGUGUUUGGAGGUUCCUCAAUUGGGAUGUUUGGGUAGUGCAAUGAGGUAUUUGGGGGUACAAAGGGGUGUGUGGCGUACCCUAAGGGGGUAUUUGGAUGAAUAUAUGACAAUGACUGUAUGACUACAUGAAAAAGACUACACGACUAUGUCUACGACUAUAUGACUAUAUGAUUAUGACUGUAUGAUUAUUAUUGCAUGAUUAUUACUGCAUCUACAACUAUAAUCUGCCACCUCUUUUUCUCCUCGUCAACCCGUACCACAAACAUCCCAUUGGGGUACCCCCAAACACCUCCAUUGGGUAUUGGGGUGUUUAGGGGUAUUGGGGGGUUUAAGUAUGGUUUCAUGGUUUGUAUUAACCAAAAUCUGUUUAUUAAGUCUUCGUUUAAUAUUUUGUCGUGUCACAUGCAUUUUAUCUGAAAACAUACUUUGAAUAUUAAUCAUGCAUAUCAAUGCUUGCGGUUUGUAUUUUUUCCACUCGGUGGUUGAGGUUUCUUCUUGAAUAAUUUGGUCAUAAUCAUUGGUUUGGCCUCAGCUUGUGAUGCACUCGGCGAAUUAACUGUGGUGACUGUAACAGAUCUUGGUUCCUU